CUAGAUCUGGAGUGGACUGAAGUUUCAGUAUCUAUGAGAGAUGCAAGAACCUGUUCUCCUUCUCAAGGAAGCAUUGAGCAGUUGCAUUGCAAAUACAAGGAUCACCAUCAGUCCAACAGAGAGGUAGCAACAAGAGGUUGAGGUUAUCACUUGAGGGCAAGAAAUCCUAUCGUAUCCUUCCAAACGCGGAGGAGCAUUCCUUACUUUUAGCAGAUCAAAUAAUUCGAUGAUGCUUUGCUUUCUUACUAUUAUCUGUUGAAAUGCAUGUUAUCUGUUGAAGAGCAUGGUAAGAAUGACAAGCCUACCAAAUGUUUAUUCCAAAUCUAAAAUGCAUAUACUUAGCUACGCGUUUUGUAUGCAUAAUCAGGGGCGAUAAGCCCUGCAUUUGGCCUUAAUAUGAUGAAAUAAAUAACUUGUCAUUGUUAUGCAUAUUAGCUAGGUUCAGCUAUGUGCGUAUGUUAUAUCAUCAAUCUGUCCCCAUUGAUUAUGCGUGUACUUUUCUCUUGUAUUAGCCUGAUGUAGAAAAUAACUGAAUUUUGUUUCUGUUCUUGCAUCGCAAAACCAACUUGGGUGAAACUGCUAUUGCCAAAUAGAUUGUUCUGAUUAUAAGGACCCUUUUUCCAACAUCGAGAUGAUGUAUUUGCAAACCUUAAUGCAAAAUGGUUAGUCAGUCUCAGCUCUACUUUCCAGAAGAACAUGUAACUGGAGGUUAUGCAGUCUAAUGUCGACAGGCGCGAGAUACAACGCCAACCUGGCAAGCUUUAUCUUCCUAUAAGCCACCCAGAGGUCCAGGGCGACUACAUGCCCAUCACUCGCGGCGGCGAGAAGCACAUGCAUACGGCAAGCUCUGUGUCGAGAUUAUUAACCAACACCUGUUGGGAGCCCGGAUGAAGAAGGCUGUCGACGCGGAGAAAGAGGAUAAGUGAUGAGAUGUUUAUGGCAGCUAAUGGAUGAUGUUAUCUUAGUUCUGGAUUUUUGUUUCGGUUGAUCGGAAACCUUGUUUGAUUUUUGAAGAUAGCUUUUUAGAACUACAAAUAUUUGAUACAAUGUGUUUUAGUAUAGACGUGCGUUGCACGUGCGAGCUUACUAGUACUAAUGGAGGAAGAACAAAUGAACUGGAGGAAAGGAAAAGGAGGGAGAUAGGGGAGAGAGAGGUAGCCGC